CCUUCUGAAGCAGUGCAAAGGGCUGCUGCAAGUCUUUGCUCCAAGCGGGAUAUCGGAGAGCACGCUGCUCGCCCAGUGCCAGGGGCACAGCGGCCAGGAAAGCCUCUUGUGGCCUUGUGUGGAGCACCAUUGUGGCUGGUCUGUCCUGGGAGUCCUCCAGUCCUCGAGAAGAUGACAGCCACUCACACCACACACAAGCACCAGAAAAUUUCUGGGUCCUUGUUUUUCGUUGGUAUCGGAAACAUUGGGGGGGAAAAAAAAACAACCAAAAACCCCACCCCCCGAAAAAACCUGCAAAAUGAAACAAACCCGAAUAUUCAAGAUAUUUCCUCUUCUAAAAUAUUUUGUGGGCUUAGACAGUGCGUGGUUUUUCUUACUCCUACAAGGGGGUGUAUAAACAUCUUCUGUUCUUGCUUUUGUUGAUUUCCUUAAAUGGUUUUAUAGGCCCAUCACCAAAUAUCCUAAUUGUAAAUUUUGACUAAGUCAUACACCAUAAAAACAAAACAACAACAAAACCCCCAAAUCAACAGGUAGAAAGGGAACUACAAAGGCAAGUGGGCCAGGCUUCUCCCUUGGCCACCUAGUCUCAUUCCUAAAGACAAAGCUGUUUCUGGGUUUAUUUGUUUUACAAAUCUUUAAUGAGGCAUAAUGUACCCAGAACAAAAUGAAUACAGUUUAACUGUAGUUCGAUGAAUUCUGACACAUGAAUACAUCCGUGUACGGACCACCACAAUCAAGACACAGAAAUAUUUGCAUCACCCCAAACAGUUUCCUUCUGCCCCUUCUCAGUUGAUUCCCACACCGGCAGUCACCGAUGUAAAAUAUACACAUAUAUCUUUCUGGGGAUAUUUCCUGCAAAUUUAAGUAUUACUCCACAUUGUCUUUUAAUUUUGGCUUUUGCUUUUUUUCUGGGAGCAGCAUCUUUUGGGCAACUCGUUUGCAGUUUUGACUUGACAGUUACUGUUUUCAGUAUCUUUGCUUAAGUCACUUUCUCCCGCUUUGGGGGGUAUUGUUUUUAAAACCCGAGUGAAUCCUACGUCCAUAGAGAUGACCCGUUUUAAAACUCGUGUCAAAGUUUGCCAGGUCGCUUUUAAACUUCCGUUGCCGUUUCGAGUUAAUUUCGUGCUUCCUCCUGCGUAUGCCCGACGCCCCCAAACCCACCCCCACAAACCGCUUCAGCGAAAACAGCGCGUAGAGGCGAAGAGAACCGAGUCGCUGCAACCAGUCUCUCAAGAUCCAGUCUCUGAACGUCACAGCUGGAAAAGUCAGGUGACAUUCGAGUCGGAUGCACCACGUUUUGAAAAACGGGAAAGUGGAGAAUGGAUUUUCUAGGGCCGGUACACACCUGCCCGGUGAGUGUACAGCUCGGGAACCGCGGCUUUGAAAGGGCAUUUGGCGUCAGUGCGAAGGUUUGGGAGAAGCAGAGCUGGGCGAACCGACGUCUGUCUUUGUCCCCAGCCGGGGGGCUCGCGGGGUCAGCAGUGCUUCGGCUUGGGCCGAGGUCUUGGGCCGAGGUUUUCCGGCGAGAUCUGGGUCGCGCUCAGAUCUGCGCGGCCUCCCUGGCUGGGGCUGACACCGGCUCCCUCCUGGAGCUUCCACCCUGGAUUGCACUGGCCUGGUCCGUGUGGAAUCUGAGCUGGAAAUGGGCGGGCGAACCUCCUAGGCCUGUCACCUUUCCUUCUUCACCGCUUUCCUUCCUUAUCUUCCAACCUGCUCGGCGGGAAGGCUGCGAAGUUUCCACAGGCGGGAGGAGCACAUUGCCAAUGCCUGGACUGCAAAUUGCUGCACAGGAACAAACAAACAAACAAAACCCACAUUCCAUUUGGUGCAAUUCGGUUCAGUCGAUAUUGCUUGAGCGCCUCCCUGGAGCACGGCACAGGGGACCCGGAGGCCGACAAAUUUCGUAGCAAAUUCGGUGUCAGCAGCGGGAUAUCGCUGAUGGCGUUCCGCGCUCCCAACAGGUUGGCGAAAUGCGGGAAUUCAGACACGAAACAAGCGCACUCUAAAGGGCCGUGUUGACGCGUCCCAUACUUGAAGUGUACACAUGACAAUCAUAGACAUUCAAGCACUUCAAAGGAGCACAGUGGAGGGUUUGCUUUUGAGACGUGUAUCUGUGUAAUACGUUCACAGCGACGUGACCCGUUUUGAAUGAGCUUACUGGUGCGCUUUAAAUUUGCGGAAACGACACGGCUACACAUACACGAACUUUCAGUGCAUAGACACUUUCUAUGUGUGUGUUUUAAAUGCACAAGGUCAAAAAGAAUUUCAAAGGGUCCAGCAAAUCAUCCUGUGAAAUACCCCUUUCCCCUCCUCUCCGCUCCUGCCCUACGGAGCCGUUCUUGGCACGCACGCUGGAGUGCACUCGGCGGUGUAAAUGUGUCCCUGAGUCCUAACUGGGUGUCGCCGGCCCAAACCCUCCGUUGUGUAUGGGGGGCUGUGGCCUUGUGUCUCUCGGUAGGGAACAUCUUUUGUCUCUCGGCAAGAAGCUUUCCUCUGGGAAAGAUAAAGUAAUCGAUAGGGUCUUUUAAAUAGCUCCACGUUUCCUGUCGGGAGAGGAGUAUCAGCGCGCGCACCAAAUCUGCUCUGGUAUGUCACCUUAUCUCCCGUCCCCGCUGUUGUCCCCAAACGCCGCCUGUCAGGGGAGACGCCACCCGCAUUAGGACCCAGACUGGGGCCCUUCCGCUCGGGGUCACGCGCAGCGCCCUUGCUUGGGCCCCGCCGCCCCUUCGGGGGCCGGGAGGGGGCGAAGAGGCCAGGGGGGUGCUGGAUGAAGGUACCAGGGGCCUAGAACGCCCACUCAGACCCAGGAGGAAAUUACCAGGCUGAAAUUGACCCGACCGGGGGGGGGGGAGGGGGGAAGCAUUUGGGUGCUUAUCAUUCUCGCGGGAGGCGGAUUUUCUUUCUGUCUGUCUGUCUUUCUGUCUUUUCAAACCAGGAAAACAGUAGUUGAGAGCGGAGCUUUGGCGACUCCAUGGGCAACCUGGCUUGCCCGCGUCCGGAGGAGAGUCGGCUUUGGCCUUUGGGGAGGGUCGCCUGGGCUUCAGGAAGCGCCUGCAGGGAGCCAGGUUCCCUUUCGCCCCGCGGGACAGUGAAGUUCCGCCAGCCUCUAGGAGACUUGUGCGGGGAGAGGAACGCGCUUCCAGGCCCUGAGGGUCCGUGGCAUCUCUGACUCAGGCCACCGUCCUAGUCUCCUGCAGCUGCCCCUUCCCAGCCUGCGGCAGCGCGGCAGUGGAGUCACCGCUGACUGCGGCCGGGCCUGAGGAGCGGACUGCGGAGGAAAGAGGCCAGGCUGGGCGCAGAAAUGUUUUUAGAUGUGGUGACCUGCCAGUGGGCCCUGGACCUCCUCGGAUGUCUAAGCGCUGUUACUAGAAUCUCCUCACUUUUCUCUUUGUAUAUCAAAGUCGGUUGUUCCAAACUUUUUUUUUUUAAUUAAGAAAAACAAUCCAGUAACAACAACAACAAAUGCUUUUCAAUCCCCUUAAGGAUGCCCACAACCACCAACCAUCUAGGACUGGCCACGGGUCAAUGGCAGAAUGAAGGCUGAGUGCAUCAGGGGCCCAGCCAACCGAAGCAGCUGCCCCGAGGCAGUGGGAAUUCCACAGGAGCAAGGCCAUUCCUGUCCUGGCCGGGUAGACCACGAGGACCCCAUACGUAGCUGACAUUAGAGGUUGGGCAAACCUGGAGGGCUGCCUGCCUUGAUAUUUCCAUCCUGGACCCGAGACCUGUGAAGAUGGAACAGAGGCCAAAGUGUCGUUGGCUACCUCCAGAACAGAAGGAAAUCCAGAGCAGGUAAACCAACAGGAAGAGCUUCCCGUACAUGGAAACACAGGACCCAAUCGAAACGCAAAGUGCUGAAGUCCAUUUCCCUGGAUCCUCGUCCUGGAAUUUCCAGAGGCAUCUGAACUCUUUGGGAAGGAGGGCCCAUGCUGACUCCACGUCCAGAGUGGUGGUGCCAAAGAAGUUUGCAUCAGGUGCCUUCUGCGACGCUCCAAGCAUCAGGCCAGUUAAUGGCACCUGGUUCAUUACACACAUGUCAAAUCUUAAAAUCUAGACCAUCAGGAUGGCUAAUGACGGCAAGCCCACCAGCUUCUCCCAGAUGACUGGUUGUCUCCGCAGGAGCUGUGCCUACAUUGUUGGGAACCUCAGUGGUAACCACGCAGUGCUGCCGGUGUGUCCGAUCUGAGUGCAAGAGUCUGGGGAUGGUGGACACACACCAGACUGUGCCCAGGACCUGAAGGUGGGAGGAACAUGGGAGAGGCCCUGACCUCCCAGACUGGAGGACCAGAAGGACACCAGUGAUGAUAAUAAUACCCAGAAGAUAAAAAAAGCGAACAAACAAACAACCUAGAUGAUUCCACGUUUAUCAUCACGUCUCAAUUAAGACUGGGAGACCAGGUUCACACUGCUGCAGCUCAGAAUUCUCAUGGUGUUUCCAGAAAAACCAUCCUUCCUAGGCAGAGUGGUGAUUAGAGGUGUUUUCAUCAGGGCUCUGUCCUCCAGUUGCUCCCCACUCCCCUGCUUUGUGCUGGCUUUCUCUCAGCCCGGGCCACCCAGGGGCAGUGGGCUGCCGAAGGGGGCAGCCCCCGCAGCUGCUCCCUCCAAAUUCUCUGGGAUUCCAGGCCGGGCGCUGGGUGAUUACACUGCUGUUAUCUGGGAUUAGCUAUUUUCGCUCCCUGUAUUUAUAUCAUGGAAGCUGCAGCGUGAUGCUGCCAGAUGCCAACAUAGGCAAACUGUGCCUUCCUUUUGGACCCACCUGCUGUUCUGCUCACACCCGGCAAGGUGGCAGUUGGUGGGGCCAGACCUGCCAAGCCCUCUGCCCCCUCCCCUUCCCCAAACGGCCAGAGACAUCAACUGAGACGCACAGAGGGGCUGAGCUCAGGGGUCACUGGCAAAGGCUGGACCCAGGCUCGGGAGAGGCGGGGGCAGGAGGGCCCGGGGGCUGGCAGCGUUCCCUGCAGAAGACGCCUGUCCUGUCACUGUCCUAAUCCCCUGAAGUCUCCGAGUCUAGGAAGCCGCUUGCCUGCCCCCCACCCCUGUUCCACUCCCACCCAUGAGCCCUUCCCUACUUGCAUGUAGGGUGUGCUGAAGAGCCCUCGUUUUAGGCUGCCUGGAAAAGCGCCAAGUGCCCUCGAGUCCAAAACAUAAGUGCAGAAGGAUUAAAAAGCCCUGCUCGGUUUAGCCUGGGUCCCUCUUUGUUUCUGCCCCACUUUCCGCCCCUUUCGCCUUGGAGGAGGUGGGGAGAUCCUGGCUGAGCAGCUCUUCUUUCAGGAAAGGGAGAGCUUUUUCAAAAGUAUGUUCUCUAUCACUAGGAUUGGACUAGGUGACUUUGCAAGCGACUUAAAAGUGCAGUCGGUCAUUUAGCAAGUGAGACGUGCUCACAGCCCAGCCAGGUGCGUGCCGAGGGGGCGUCUUCCAACGCCGGGGCAGGUUGCUUGCCCACUCGCGCCCUCUGCUGGGUGAGAGGGGACAGUGCUGGGCCGUGGCUGCCCACCUUGGGCGCUUUCAGAGCAGGAAGGAAGAGGCUCCCGAUAAAGCCUGGUGGAAUUCUGCACUCCUGGGAUUUACCAGGAAAACAGUACAUGCAGAGUGGCCCCCCGAAUGCCUCUUGUGGGGCUCUGCCUCUGUCUGUGUUUCUCUGCCGAGGCCCGUCCCUUAGGGUGGGGAUCUCAAGGGUGGCAGUGAAUUAUCUUUCCCAGGUAUGUAUUAAAACAUUGAAAAAAAUUAGUACCCUACUGUAGAGUUUCCUAAACCUUAUUGUUUGCUAUAACCAGGGAAGAUACAUCCUGU